rfam:Camelus ferus unplaced genomic scaffold scaffold597, whole genome shotgun sequence.
GAGGGUAUAGCUCAGUGGUAGAGCACAUGCUUAGUGUAUACAAGGUCCUGGAUUCAAUCUCCAAUACCUCCA